ACGGCGAGUGAAGCGGCAACAGCUCAAAUUUGAAAUCUGGCUCUCGGGCCCGAGUUGUAAUUUGUAGAGGAUACUUUUGAUGCGGUGCCUUCCGAGUUCCCUGGAACGGGACGCCAUAGAGGGUGAGAGCCCCGUCUGGUUGGAUGCCAAAUCUCUGUAAAGUUCCUUCGACGAGUCGAGUAGUUUGGGAAUGCUGCUCUAAAUGGGAGGUAUAUGUCUUCUAAAGCUAAAUACCGGCCAGAGACCGAUAGCGCACAAGUAGAGUGAUCGAAAGAUGAAAAGCACUUUGAAAAGAGAGUUAAAAAGUACGUGAAAUUGUUGAAAGGGAAGCGUUUAUGACCAGACUUGGGCUUGGUUAAUCAUCUGGGGUUCUCCCCAGUGCACUUUUCCAGUCCAGGCCAGCAUCAGUUUUCCCCGGGGGAUAAAGACUUCGGGAAUGUGGCUCUCUUCGGGGAGUGUUAUAGCCCGUUGUGUAAUACCCUGGGGGGGACUGAGGUUCGCGCAUCUGCAAGGAUGCUGGCGUAAUGGUCAUCAACGACCCGUCUUGAACCACGGGA
rnacentral:rRNA from 1 species